AACGUAGGAGACAAACGUUAUCCGGAGUUACUGGGCGUAAAGGGCGUGUAGGCGGUUUGUUAAGUCUGGCGUGAAAGCUCUCGGCUAAACCGGGAGAGGUCGUUGGAUACUGGCAAACUAGAGGACGGUAGAGGCGAGUGGAAUUCCCGGUGUAGCGGUGAAAUGCGCAGAUAUCGGGAGGAACACCAAUGGCGAAGGCAGCUCGCUGGGACGUUACUGACGCUGAGACGCGAAAGCGUGGGGAGCAAACAGG
rnacentral:rRNA from 1 species